CUUCUGAAUUAGAUCUCUUUUAAACCAUUUUUUCCUGAUAAAAAUGAGCCCAAAGCACCUUACCUGACCCACCUUUAUAUAUAUCACCCCAAACCCCUAUUUUCUUAUUCAUUUUCAACGACACAAACCCUAGCCGCAUUGUCGAUGCUCUGCUCUCUCUUCUCCACUCUGUUCCGGCCAAGAAUGGCAGUAAGUGCUACCGCUAAACUCAAGUCUUGGUCGGCCAUUUCGGAGUAUCAGGUUGGGUCUGCUUCCAUAUCUCAUGGUUGAUCGUCGUCGUCAGCAUUGUUACGAGUUUCCAGGAUGAGCACGAGACGUUCGCUGCCUUGAAGACUCUUCCUAUUUUAUGUCUUACUAUUGCUAUUCUGAGACAUAGACAGAUUUAUGUAAUAUUAUUCCAGACUUGUAUAUUUUUCUUUAGAUGCUUUUGUAUGGCUUAGACCAGACUCUGGGGCUAAUUGUCCUUAUUCUGCACUAUUCUAUCAUAUAUCAUCGUGAGACUUACGUAA